UUGCAGUAUAAGAUGAUCAUGGAUUCUCCACAGUUAAGUAGAAAAGCUCCAACACACAGUCAACAAGAUUUUGGACCUCCAACAAAGGGAAGCAAAGUCCUUAAUGGGACCUACCCUGAGGUACCACCACAGGACGUGCGGCGUAUACCGGACCAACCACUGAGGAAGGGUCGUGGUCAAGUGCUAAAGGCAGACCUUAUCACUUCAUUACAUCCUCUACGAAUUCACAGCAGCCUCUCUCAUCCACCUCGUGCUCCC